CAGGCACAGUGUUCAGUGCUCUGAGACUGUGUGAGUAAAAGUGCUUAUUUUACAGAUGAGUAAACGGAGGUUCAGUGAACUUGGAACAUGUACCCAACACCUCACCAACAGUCAAUGGUACAGAUACAAAAGAGACAAGAAAAAGUGCAGCUCACCUUAAAUACCCUGAUUCAUCUGAGCUGGGCAUGAUUCAGCUACUCAAGAUAUUGAAUUUGGGAAAUAUGUGUGUCUUCAGACUUUUUCCUCUCUCUGUAUGGGAGAGGGCUGGCAAGUCGGGCACCAGAGGGAUCAACUCAUGCACAAGGCUGCUGCAGCCUGCAUAAAAGUGUGCAAGUAGACCU
rnacentral:lncRNA from 10 species